rnacentral:piRNA from 1 species
UCAUUCUACUUAGUAACAUUGCCGCAGCCU